rnacentral:rRNA from 1 species
GAUGAACGCUGGCGGCGUGCCUAAUACAUGCAAGUCGAGCGGUAAGGCCCUUCGGGGUACACGAGCGGCGGACGGGUGAGUAACACGUAAGAACAUACCCCAAACUGAGGGAUAACUGCUCGAAAGAGUAGCUAAUACCGCAUGUGCUCUAAGGAGUAAAGCUUCGGCGGUUUGGGAAUGGCUUGCGUCCGAUUAGCUAGUUGGUAAGGUAAUGGCUUACCAAGGCGACGAUCGGUAGCUGUUCUGAGAGGAUGAUCAGCCACACUGGGACUGAGACACGGCCCAGACUCCUACGGGAGGCAG